rnacentral:rRNA from 1 species
AGAGUUUGAUCCUGGCUCAGGACGAACGCUGGCGGCGUGCCUAAUACAUGCAAGUCGAGCGAGCUUGCCUAGAUGAUUUUAGUGCUUGCACUAAAUGAAACUAGAUACAAGCGAGCGGCGGACGGGUGAGUAACACGUGGGUAACCUGCCCAAGAGACUGGGAUAACACCUGGAAACAGAUGCUAAUACCGGAUAACAACACUAGACGCAUGUCUAGAGUUUGAAAGAUGGUUCUGCUAUCACUCUUGGAUGGACCUGCGGUGCAUUAGCUAGUUGGUAAGGUAACGGCUUACCAAGGCAAUGAUGCAUAGCCGAGUUGAGAGACUGAUCGGCCACAUUGGGACUGAGACACGGCCCAAACUCCUACGGGAGGCAGCAGUAGGGAAUCUUCCACAAUGGGCGAAAGUCUGAUGGAGCAACGCCGCGUGAGUGAAGAAGGGUUUCGGCUCGUAAAGCUCUGUUGGUAGUGAAGAAAGAUAGAGGUAGUAACUGGCCUUUAUUUGACGGUAAUUACUUAGAAAGUCACGGCUAACUACGUGCCAGCAGCCGCGGUAAUACGUAGGUGGCAAGCGUUGUCCGGAUUUAUUGGGCGUAAAGCGAGUGCAGGCGGUUCAAUAAGUCUGAUGUGAAAGCCUUCGGCUCAACCGGAGAAUUGCAUCAGAAACUGUUGAACUUGAGUGCAGAAGAGGAGAGUGGAACUCCAUGUGUAGCGGUGGAAUGCGUAGAUAUAUGGAAGAACACCAGUGGCGAAGGCGGCUCUCUGGUCUGCAACUGACGCUGAGGCUCGAAAGCAUGGGUAGCGAACAGGAUUAGAUACCCUGGUAGUCCAUGCCGUAAACGAUG